AGGAAUAUUGGUCAAUGGACGCGAGUCUGAACCAGCCAAGUAGCGUGAAGGAUGACUGCCCUAUGGGUUGUAAACUUCUUUUAUAAAGGAAUAAAGUCGGGUAUGGAUACCCGUUUGCAUGUACUUUAUGAAUAAGGAUCGGCUAACUCCGUGCCAGCAGCCGCGGUAAUACGGAGGAUCCGAGCGUUAUCCGGAUUUAUUGGGUUUAAAGGGAGCGUAGAUGGAUAUUUAAGUCAGUUGUGAAAGUUUGCGGCUCAACCGUAAAAUUGCAGUUGAUACUGGAUAUCUUGAGUGCAGUUGAGGCAGGCGGAAUUCGUGGUGUAGCGGUGAAAUGCUUAGAUAUCACGAAGAACUCCGAUUGCGAAGGCAGCCUGCUAAGCUGCAACUGACAUUGAGGCUCGAAAGUGUGGGUAUCAAACAGGAUUAGAUACCCUGGUAGUCCACACGGUAAACGAUGAAUACUCGCUGUUUGCGAUAUACUGCAAGCGGCCAAGCGAAAGCGUUAAGUAUUCCACCUGGGGAGUACGCCGGCAACGGUGAAACUCAAAGGAAUUGACGGGGGCCCGCACAAGCGGAGGAACAUGUGGUUUAAUUCGAUGAUACGCGAGGAACCUUACCCGGGCUUAAAUUGCAGAUGAAUUACGGUGAAAGCCGUAAGCCGCAAGGCAUCUGUGAAGGUGCUGCAUGGUUGUCGUCAGCUCGUGCCGUGAGGUGUCGGCUUAAGUGCCAUAACGAGCGCAACCCUUGUUGUCAGUUACUAACAGGUUCCGCUGAGGACUCUGACAAGACUGCCAUCGUAAGAUGUGAGGAAGGUGGGGAUGACGUCAAAUCAGCACGGCCCUUACGUCCGGGGCUACACACGUGUUACAAUGGGGGGUACAGAGGGCCGCUACCACGCGAGUGGAUGCCAAUCCCCAAAACCUCUCUCAGUUCGGACUGGAGUCUGCAACCCGACUCCACGAAGCUGGAUUCGCUAGUAAUCGCGCAUCAGCCACGGCGCGGUGAAUACGUUCCCG
rnacentral:rRNA from 1 species